CCAUCAGUGGGUCAGUGGUAGAAUGCUCGCCUGCCACGCGGGCGGCCCAGGUUGGAUUCCCGGCCGAUGCA
rnacentral:tRNA from 1 species